AUGGGGAGUUCCAAUGGCCACUGCUCCAUUUCCUUGGCCGUCCUCUUCGUCUUUGUUGUCACCGGCGACGCUAAUCUAGGGUCGUGUGGCUGCUUCAAGCGUAUCUUCUCCUUUGGCGACUCCAUCAUUGACACCGGCAAUUUCGCAUACACCAUCCGCAACAGAUCACCGAGUCCACCCUCGGUGCUUCCUUAUGGAGAGACCUACUUCCACCACCCCACGGGCAGGGGCGGACCCAGAAUAAAAACUGACUGGGGGAAUUCAUCAAUAAGAAAACUUACAAAGGCUUAUAAACCUCACAAUAUGUUAUACACAAAUGCUCUCUCUGAUCCAUAUUAUUUGUCAGCGCAAGCGUUGGGCCUGCCGCUGCUGCCGCCGAGCUUGCCCGAGGAGAAGACGGGGCAGUUCCCCACUGGUGCCAACUUUGCCGUGUUCGGCGCUAUGGCGCUGAACCCGAACUACUUCAAGUCCAGGUAUAACUUGAGUGUACCGUUUCCAUGGAGCCUCCACGAUCAGCUCGCUACUUUCAACAAAGUGCUCACACGGAUUGCUCCAGGAGAUGCUGCAACAAAGAGGCUCCUGAGCGAGUCCCUGGUCGUCUUUGGUGAGAUUGGGGGCAAUGACUACAACUUUUGGUUCUUUGACUCUGAGCUCAGCAAGGACAGAAACACGCCCCUCCAGUAUAUGCCCGAUAUUAUCGACCGCAUCGGAGCCGGCGUGCAGAAGGUGAUCAACCUCGGCGCCAAGACGAUCCUUGUCCCGGGGAACUUCCCCAUCGGGUGCGUGCCGGUCUACCUUAGUACUCACAAGAGCAAUACAUCUGCCGACUACGACCAGUUCGGCUGCCUCGCGUGGUUCAACGCGUUCUCUCGGAGGCACAACCAGCUGUUGAAGCAGGAGAUCGGCCGGCUCAAGUCCCGGAACCCCAGCGUGAAGAUCAUCUACGCAGACUACUACGGCGCCUUCAUGGAGUUCGUCAAGAAUCCCAACAGGAAUGGCAUUGACAGCCCUCUCGUGGCAUGCUGUGGUGGCAACGGGCCCUACGGCACCGGCCUUCCGUGCGACUGGAACGCGAAGGUUUGCCGCGACCCAUCCAGGUUCGCCAACUGGGACCAGGUUCACAUGACGGAAAAGGCAUACAGUGUCAUCGCCAAUGGGGUGCUCAAUGGCCCGUAUGCGGACAUCCCUUUGCUCCACGCAUGCUAG
rnacentral:rRNA from 1 species